rnacentral:tRNA from 1 species
CAGGGAGACAACAAAAUGUUUAAUAUUAUUAUUUUGUCACCUUAGGUCGAUCGGUAUCUCACGUUUUUAAUUUAUUAAGAAUUUCAUUUCCUAAGUUUUUCUAGGUCACACCCAUUAUUUUUCCUGGGCCAUUAGCUCAGGUGGUUAGAGCGCACCCCUGAUAAGGGUGAGGUCCCUGGUUCAAGUCCAGGAUGGCCCAUAUCUCUAUGUUGGGGGUAUAGCUCAGUUGGUAGAGCGCCUGCUUUGCAAGCAGGAUGUCAGCGGUUCGAGUCCGCUUACCUCCACUGAUCACCACCUCUUCCAUAAUUGGUAAAAAGGAAAUUUUUUGAGUUGUGAUCAUAUUCUGAAAGAAUCUAGCUUCCUAAUGAAAUCAUUAAGAUGCUGGACUCAUUGAAUUAAUUUCAUUGUUUUCAGAGAACCUUGACAACUGCAUAGAUUAUUUUUAAAGACAAUAAGCAUCUUUAAUGAUGCAGAUUUAUUAUUUGUGCAAAUGCAUUAAUAACAAUUCUAUUAAGCUGAUGCUUCAAUAUUUGAAGUUAUU